GUGUCAGCCGCCGCGGUAAUACGGAGGGUGCAAGCGUUAAUCGGAAUUACUGGGCGUAAAGGGCGCGUAGGUGGUCGAGUCAGUCGGAUGUGAAAGCCCUGGGCUUAACCUGGGAAUUGCAUUCGAGACUGCUCGGCUAGAGUUUGGUAGAGGGAAGCGGAAUUCCGCAUGUAGCGGUGAAAUGCGUAGAGAUGCGGAGGAACACCAGUGGCGAAGGCGGCUUCCUGGACCAACACUGACACUGAGGCGCGAAAGCGUGGGGAUCAAACAGGAUUAGAAACCCCCGUAGUCC
rnacentral:rRNA from 1 species